UACGUAGGGUGCAAGCGUUGUCCGGAAUCAUUGGGCGUAAAGAGCUCGUAGGCGGUCUGUCGCGUCGGCUGUGAAAUCCCGAGGCUCAACCUCGGGUUUGCAGUCGAUACGGGCAAACUAGAGUAUUGCAGGGGAGACUGGAAUUCCUGGUGUAGCGGUGAAAUGCGCAGAUAUCAGGAGGAACACCGGUGGCGAAGGCGGGUCUCUGGGCAAUAACUGACGCUGAGGAGCGAAAGCGUGGGGAGCGAACAGG
rnacentral:rRNA from 1 species